rnacentral:lncRNA from 1 species
AAAAAGCACACUUGAUUUUGUUUGGGUGCAUUUAAAUAUUAACAUAGUCAGGUGGUGUGUAUUGUUUGAGUAUAAUUCCCUUUCAUUUUAGAUUCUGGGCACCUGUGAUAUUUGUCUUCUUACACAUCAGUGCAUUCAGGUGUGGGCUCACAACAAGAGAAAUUUGCAUCCGUGAAGAGGCUGGGAGGAGAAGGGCUUUGAACACUGUAGCAGUGGUGAAUAUUUUUGCUUCUGCUUGGUGGAUUGGAUUCAUUUUGAAUUUCCAAAAUACAUCAUUAGGCAGUGUUGUUUGUUUUCUUCUUUGCCGUGAGCACUGUUGGCCCUGGAGGUUUUCUUGUUCUCAGGACUGCAGGUGGCUGUUUCGGGUCCAAGGAUGUGGAAGACAGCAUUGACGGAAGGCUACGUGGGAGCCCCGAAGGACAGCAGACGCGGCAGCUCUGUGCAAAUCCGCAGGCGCAAAGCUUCUGGUGACCCUUACUGGGCCUACUCGGGCACGUUAGCUUCUAAAGCCUGCAGAAAUCCUCCUCCCCCAAUCCCAGCUGUACCUUUUGCUCAAAACGCUGAGGGCUUCCCUGCAAAUCAAUGCCUGCCCGGCUAACUGGAAAUGCGCUGGUCUCCCGGUGUGUCUACAAGCCCUGUGCCUGCAGUCAUCUUUGAGAGAUGGUUGGGAGCUGAGCUCUCCCCUGUCCCUUGGAACUUCAUUAACUGCUGUGCCUUUGUGCACUGAAUA